AAAAAGACAAAUCUGGUUUCCGUGUCCAACGUUUAACCGUCCGUUUUAUAUGAAAAAAUUAAAAAAACAAUUCACACAUAAAAUAUUAAUCAUGUUUUAUCAUCUAACAACAAUAAAAAUACGAAUUAUAAAAAAAUUUUAUAUAAGACGAACAGUUAAAGUUGAACACGAAAACCUAGGAUUUGUCUUUUU
rnacentral:pre_miRNA from 1 species